UCAAUGUCCGUGAUGAAGAGAGUAAUGGUGGUGGGGUUAAAGCGAGUUAGGGUUGGUGUGAGCCUAAUAACGAAACCAUGAUGAAGCGCACUUCUGAGACGCAUCCUGAAUCGAAAAGUAGGGAAUGCCGGUCGCUCACCGAUAAUGAGCAUGAAGUAGGCUUUCAGAAAAGAAAGCAAUCAGAGUGGUACCGCGGGGAAAUCUCGUCUCUAUU
rnacentral:ncRNA from 1 species